UUUCCUUUCAAUUGUCUUGAUAUUUUAAAGAACAGUCGAGUUUUCUAACAAAUAACUUAAUUUUUCAUAUUUGCAUUUGCACAAAGGUGUUUUUUAAUGAUUUCAACAUUAUUUAUAACUAAAUACCAAAAAUUAUCUAAAUUUUUAUCACAUUCGCUUUCGCAACAAGUUGUCUAAGUAAUGCCUUGAUUAAAAUUUGGGAAAAAUCGAUAAAGGCAUUCCCACAACAUUUUUUCGGAGAUCAAGUUUCUUAUUUUUUAAGGUUUUCUACGGAACAUAAGAACUACCACACAGUUUCUUAGAAACUUAUUUUUUCAGUUCAUUCGAUCCUUCAGAUGGCAAAGCUUGUCAUACCAUAAAAACGAAUGCAAUGCAACGAAUGUAAUUAAGACAUUGGUUUGCUUAACGUUUGUUGCUACUGGUGUUGUUGAGAAAUUUGAAACAAAACAUUUUGUAUUGAGAAGGCCCGUAAUGGUGGUUCUUGAUCAAAUAUUCCAGUAAAAAUUACUCUUACCACUCGAGAAAUAUAUUUUAUUAUCGAUACAAUAAAAAUUUUGUGUUUCGGAAUUAAAUAUUUUAUCUGUGAAAUGUUUUUCUUUUCUACUAUGCUACAUUUUUUGACCACUUUGUGCAACUUGAAAUUUUAAUCAUCUAGUUUACAGAGCCCUAUUUUUUAACUUUUACCAGAAACAUCAACGAAAUUAGUAUUAUUUGCUUCGUUAGUAUGUUUACUAUAAGAGCUAAAAGAAACUUUUUUUGGAUAUUGUGCUCAAAUUGAAAUGGCAGUUAAUCGUUAGUGUAUUUAUAAUUUCUGAAACAGUCUAUAUUUUUGAAAUAUUAAAUUGACAUUAAUUAAAUAUCUGAUGCUCUUGUAGUUUCUUAUUUUUUAUUUAAUCGUAAAAUAUUUGACAUAUUUUUUAUUAUCUGUGGUUCAGUAUUGUAUGAAAUAAUUAAAUAUGUAACAUGUCCACUUAUCUAAAAUUCUUGAGACAAAAAGUUAGCUAAGACUGAUUGAUUGACAUUUUUCAGAAAACGAAAAAACGCUGUAAAAUUCAAAAGAUUCGUCGAUUUUCGUUCGAUUUUCUGAAAUGACUUAUAUGUUUCAAAAAUUUGCUUGGAUCGCCAAAUUUGGUGAAAAUAAAAAGUGGGUCGCAAGAGGGGAAAGCCUGAGAACCCCUGGUCUAGAAAGUAAAAAUAUUAUUCUUUGACACCAAAAUGAAACUAUAUCUGGAGAAUCAAAACAAAAAAAAAAAUAGAAAUCUUUGUUAAAAAUAUGGAAUAAGGUUUUUGUUUUCUUCCGUGGCCAUAACGUGGUUAUAACGCCCUUACGUUCAAAACACCCUUAAGUUUAAAAUUUAAUUUAAAGUAGAAAAAAAAACAUUAAACAACAUUCGGUGAUCAACUUUUUUGUAUUUUUUACAAAUUUUACCUAAGCAUUUUUAACUACCAAAAAGAACAAUUUGAAUAUUCAGUUGGAUAAAUUUGCCUCUAGCCUUACUUUUAAGAAGGGCCAAAGCAAAAAAUCAAUGAAAAUUUAAAAAAAACAUAUAUGUCUGAGAAGCGACUUGCCCGAUGGAUAAGCUGUCUUCGGCAACAUAAUUUUGCAAACUUAUAAUAGUUUUUACCAUAUUUUUGACGUUUUUGCUCAUGCAGCAAUAAAUAAUAUUGGAUCUUCCAGAAAACAAUUGUCAUGACUUGGAAAAAAAAAUCGAAACGACCGAAAGUUGUAAAAUCGUUACAUCUCGGAUACGGUAGCAUUUAGCAAGACUUUGUGGCAAUUAAUUGCCCAAUAUGCUUGCUAUAACAUAUCAAAAAAUUAAAAAAAAAAAUCAAAAAUACCUUUUUUGAGGCAGGUGAUUUUAAAGUUGUAUUUAAAAAAAGGUGGAAAAUCCAACCCGUUGGACGGUUGGUGUUGGGUCAUUUCGUCGUUAGAUGCAAGAAGAGCCCAAACCAAAAAUUUGAUUUUUUUCAGAAUCCUCCAUGAAACCGAAAAUUUGUUGAUCGCAGAAUUAUUUUACGAUUGAUGUCUGUAGAAAUAUUGCCCCGAAACGUUUGAGACAGUAUGAAGACCAUCAGUACAUAGUUGUUCUUUCAAAAGAUUCUUGAAAUUUUUACUUUGAAUGACAAGGUUUCGGUAAUGUCAAGAAGUAAGCUGUUCAUAGCUUCGUAAAUUUAAAAAAAAUCGGUAAAAGUCGAAAAGUUUCGUGAGGAUACUAGAAUUUUCAUAAAAUAUUCGAAAACUUUGGUUUAUUUAUUUGGUUUUUUAACUCAAAAUAAGAAAGAGGAAAAACCCCUUUCGAAGUGUUUUUUUUAAGGUAAGACAGAGAAAAAAAGUUAUAUAAUCAAAAAAAUGGGGUCUCCAGUUAGCCUAGUGGUUAAGGCUAUGGAUCGCCAAUCCGGAGACGGCGGGUUCGAUUCCCGUUGCAGUCGGUGAAAUUUUCUUGACUCCCUGGGCAUAGUGUAUCAUUGUACUUGCCUCACAAUAUACAAAUUCAUGCAAUGGCAGGCAAAGGAAGCCCUUCAAUUAACAGCUGCGGUAGUGCUCGAAGAACACUAAGUUGAAGCGAGGUAGGCCAAGUCCCAGUGGGGACGUAGAGCCAUAAAGAAGAAGAAGAAACAAAAAAAUAAUUAAAAAAGACAAGA